AUUGAACGCUGGCGGCAGGCUUAACACAUGCAAGUCGAGCGGGGGAUUGUGCUUCGGUACAUGACCUAGCGGCGGACGGGUGAGUAAUGCUUAGGAAUCUGCCUAUUAAUGGGGGACAACAUCUCGAAAGGGAUGCUAAUACCGCAUACGCCCUACGGGGGAAAGCAGGGGAUCUUCGGACCUUGCGUUAAUAGAUGAGCCUAAGUCGGAUUAGCUAGUUGGUGGGGUAAAGGCCUACCAAGGCGACGAUCUGUAGCGGGUCUGAGAGGAUGAUCCGCCACACUGGGACUGAGACACGGCCCAGACUCCUACGGGAGGCAGCAGUGGGGAAUAUUGGACAAUGGGGGGAACCCUGAUCCAGCCAUGCCGCGUGUGUGAAGAAGGCCUUAUGGUUGUAAAGCACUUUAAGCGAGGAGGAGGCUUCUUUGGUUAAUACCCAAAGUAAGUGGACGUUACUCGCAGAAUAAGCACCGGCUAACUCUGUGCCAGCCGCCGCGGUAAAAC
rnacentral:rRNA from 1 species